UGUGUAUUGAAGGCUCUGUAUAUCUUCAUAGUGUGGAGCCAUCACAUCUGCUCUUGGGGUGUCACACCAGAGUUCUAGAUGGACCCAGAAUUGCAGAGAGACAAGGUCAGGGGAAGGAGCCGGGAAAGAGGUUAACAAGACCACAGAUGCUGCAGAUGGGACUCACACGAAGAUGUCCUUCCCACCAGCCAGGCCAUCGCUGGCUUUGUAAGACGCAGCCAACUGCCACCAGGUGGCAGAACAAGAUGAGAAAACCGUGCCCCACGGAGUCCCUGAGCCCCUGCUGCUGCAGUUUUUGAGGACAUUUGGGUAGCAGGGAGGUCUCUUCUUCUCUGCACUGCAUGCACCCAGGAAAGGCCAUGUGACGUCUUAGCAAGAAGGAGGCAAACCAUGAGGAGAGCCUUCAGCAGAAACCAAAUCGGCCAGCACCUUGAUCUUGGACUUCCCAGCUGGCAGAACUGUGAGAAAAUAAAU
rnacentral:lncRNA from 1 species